rnacentral:rRNA from 1 species
GAUGAACGCUAGCGGCAGGCUUAAUACAUGCAAGUCGAGGGGCAGCAUGAAUGUAGCAAUACAUUUGAUGGCGACCGGCAAACGGGUGCGGAACACGUACACAACCUUCCUAUAAGUGGGGAAUAGCCCAGAGAAAUUUGGAUUAAUACCCCGUAACAUAAUGAUGUGGCAUCACAUUAUUAUUAUAGCUUCGGCGCUUAUUGAUGGGUGUGCGGCUGAUUAGAUAGUUGGCGGGGUAACGGCCCACCAAGUCUACGAUCAGUAGCUGAUGUGAGAGCAUGAUCAGCCACACGGGAACUGAGACACGGGCCCGACUCCUACGGGAGGCAGCAGUAAGGGAUAUUGGUCAAUGGACGCAAGUCUGAACCAGCCAUGCCGCGUGAAGGAUUAAGGUCCUCUGGAUUGUAAACUUCUUUUAUCUGGGACGAAGAAAGGCUAUUCUUAGUCACUUGACGGUACCAGAUGAAUAAGCACCGGCUAACUCCGUGCCAGCCGCCGCCGUAA